CGGGGUGGGGAAGCUAAACAUGCAAGUCGAGCGGUAGAGAGAAGCUUGCUUCUCUUGAGAGCGGCGGACGGGUGAGUAAUGCCUAGGAAUCUGCCUGGUAGUGGGGGAUAACGUUCGGAAACGGACGCUAAUACCGCAUACGUCCUACGGGAGAAAGCAGGGGACCUUCGGGCCUUGCGCUAUCAGAUGAGCCUAGGUCGGAUUAGCUAGUUGGUGGGGUAAUGGCUCACCAAGGCGACGAUCCGUAACUGGUCUGAGAGGAUGAUCAGUCACACUGGAACUGAGACACGGUCCAGACUCCUACGGGAGGCAGCAGUGGGGAAUAUUGGACAAUGGGCGAAAGCCUGAUCCAGCCAUGCCGCGUGUGUGAAGAAGGUCUUCGGAUUGUAAAGCACUUUAAGUUGGGAGGAAGGGUUGUAGAUUAAUACUCUGCAAUUUUGACGUUACCGACAGAAUAAGCACCGGCUAACUCUGUGCCAGCAGCCGCGGUAAUACAGAGGGUGCAAGCGUUAAUCGGAAUUACUGGGCGUAAAGCGCGCGUAGGUGGUUAGUUAAGUUGGAUGUGAAAUCCCCGGGCUCAACCUGGGAACUGCAUUCAAAACUGACUGACUAGAGUAUGGUAGAGGGUGGUGGAAUUUCCUGUGUAGCGGUGAAAUGCGUAGAUAUAGGAAGGAACACCAGUGGCGAAGGCGACCACCUGGACUGAUACUGACACUGAGGUGCGAAAGCGUGGGGAGCAAACAGGAUUAGAUACCCUGGUAGUCCACGCCGUAAACGAUGUCAACUAGCCGUUGGGAGCCUUGAGCUCUUAGUGGCGCAGCUAACGCAUUAAGUUGACCGCCUGGGGAGUACGGCCGCAAGGUUAAAACUCAAAUGAAUUGACGGGGGCCCGCACAAGCGGUGGAGCAUGUGGUUUAAUUCGAAGCAACGCGAAGAACCUUACCAGGCCUUGACAUCCAAUGAACUUUCUAGAGAUAGAUUGGUGCCUUCGGGAACAUUGAGACAGGUGCUGCAUGGCCUGUCGUCAGCUCGUGUCGUGAGAUGUUGGGUAAGUCCCGUAACGGAGCGCAACUCCUUGUCCUAGUACCAGCACGUAAUGUGGCACCCCUAAGGAGACUGCCGGUGACAAACCCGGAGAAGGUGGGGGAAUGACGUCAAGUCAUCAUGGUCC
rnacentral:rRNA from 1 species